AACCUAAUUUCACACAGUAAUUGAUACAUGGAGUGCUGGUUGGAGCAACGAACACACUUCCUACUUAUUACUAGUGGAAAAGGGAAGGGUUAGAGACCAUUACAAAGACUUAAAGUCACAAAGACAACUAAGAAAUAGACGGACACUAAUAUGUCAAUAAAUCACAAGGGCCCUUUGUGUCAAGGCCUACAGGCAACUGUAAUCAAUAAAUAGCAUAUGUCAAAUAGGCCAUUUGUUUGUUAUUUCAUCUGCCUACUCUUCUUCAUCAUAAUCUUCUUCCUCUUCUGCUACACUUGUAUUCAGUUGUGACAUAUGAGCAGGGUCAAUGACCAUUCUGUCCAUUUCGAGGGACCACUGAGGGCCUUCCUCUGCUUUCUCGUUCACAGGCCUUGGUGAUGGAUUGCAGGGUGCUAUUUCCGGUGCAGCUGGUUUAUCAGUAUUAUCAUCUACAUUGACCUUCAGAUUAGGAGUUGUUACAACUGAGUUUUCUUUGUCACAAACAGUGGAAUCCUGUGUAGGUGAUUCUUUCGGUUCUGAGCAGUUCUCUGUCUGAGUUCCAGGAUUUGGAUUUUGUUGAACACUCUGCUGAGCAGAAGUGCAGGAUUCAAGUUGCAUAUCAGGUCGUGAGAGCUCCUUAUCAGCACGGCUUACCCGACCACGACCUCUUCCUCUACCCCUACCUCUUCCCCUACCACUACUGCCAACAGGAGACAUCUCCGUCCUGCUCUUUUUGUAUUCAUCCUCACUGUCAUGAUGUUCUUCUAUAGCAACUUUCCUUCUUUUUGGCAUUUCACCAGCAGCAUCAGAAUGGCCAUAAUCAGGAACCUUGCUGACCACUUCCCGAAGAAAGUCAAACACGUUGUAGCUUUGUACACAGUGUUUUAUGUUCACACUCACAAACAAGGAUUUUUACAUCAUAUUAGCUGCUUAUGCAAUUACGUGUGGUCCCCUCUCAUAGGUUGCAUAAGGGUUUCCAGACACAGGCUUAAGGUUUUGGGUUGGACUGCUUGAUCAAUGUGACAAAAUCUGAGCAUCCAACCAAAACAUUAAGGUGAUGGAUGGAUAAAAAGAAAGUCUUCAAUCCACAUGAAAACCCUAGAACUGGUCACACAUGCAAGAGAGUAUUGGAGAAUACACUUGGUCCUCACUGGUCAUAUAAGGGUUGAAAAAGGGAUUCAUAAUGUCCUAGGCCACUUCACCUAUUGCUUAAGGUUUUGGGUUGGUAGCUCAGGUUCUUUCAAACAUAAGAUACCGCAUCAUGCUAAGAGGAAGCCAUGAUACUCCAAUAACGUUUAAAAGAAGUCAUGAUUUUUAGAUCCAUCUCAGUUGGCAUGCAGUAGAAAUUGGCACACUUGGAGAGAGCAUGUUAGAAAUGCAGAACAAUUCAACCAUUUAGCUGAACAAGUUCCCAAUAAUAGAAACAGAUUUAAAGAAAGAGUAGCACUACAAGAACAGAUAGUUACAAAGAAAAGAAUCGAAAAGACUGAAGCGUUUUUACCAAAAGUGCCACACAUGACACAACUAUGAAGACUAAGGUCCUCUUAUCAAUCAAAUGUGCUAAAAUAACAAUGGCACUGAGAUGAAGCACCAAGUGCAGUGAAUUAACAGUCUUUGCUCCUCUUCUAAGAGUUAUGUCAUAUGUCCGGUCACAAAGGUCUUGUAAAAAUAACUCCAAGGCUUUUGACACUAGAACAGGCACAGCCAUUGCAAUCUUACCGACAUCCUCAUCGGCUUGCAUAAUUUUCUUGAUCCGGGCCGCAGGAAAGCGAGUAUCAAGUUUCUUCCUCAUGAUAAAUCAGAUUCUGUCCAUUCAAAAAUAGAGAGAAUCUAAGGAUAUAAAAUACUAAAUUAGAGAAUCUAGUGAACAAAUUUCUUUCUGAAAUUGGAAGAAUCAGAAGAAGACAAUCAUUGUUCGAAGUGAGAUAGAGAGAGAGGAGAAGAUUU
rnacentral:misc_RNA from 1 species